rnacentral:lncRNA from 1 species
GCAGGUCACGCCUGCUGCACGGCAGCAGGCCUGCUGCCGUGCAGCAGGUAAAAAAAAAAAUUUUCAAAAAUUUUUUUUUUUUUUUUUCUUUUAUUUGCUCGGGCCGAGCAUUUUUGUCACGGGCCAUUUUUGGCCCGUGACACGAGCCGGCCCGUGUGGCUCGGCGAGCCACACGGGCUUGCUCGGGCUCGGGCCGGCCUCUUAUUUUGAGGCUCGGCCCGAGCCUAGGCUCGAUCCCUACGAGCCACGAGCCGGGCGGGCUCGGGCUUUUUCCGAGCCGAGCCACGAGCCGCCCGAGCCACCGAGCCUUUUUGACACCCCUAAAAUCGCCCAAGAAUUGUUGGAAGAAUUCGAUCAAGUAGAGCUUCAAUGUGUUAAUAGAAUAUAUAAUGACAUAGCAAAUGAGUUGGCCCAGAUGGUUUCAGGGUAUUCAAAGGCUUUAAAUUGGAAAUCUACUUAUGAAUAUGGAGUAAUAUUGCCCGUGGUCCAAAGAAGGGCGAGAAGGAUUGAAAUUCAUUGCAUACAAGAUGGAGAUGCAAUAGAUUGGAGGGCAGAGAUUAAAAUGUUCCUUAAAAACCUAAUAAAGGAGGUAGUAGAAAAAUAAAGUUGCGUUUGCUAAACUAUACACUGAUAGAUGAAGAGUUAUUUAAGAAAUGCUCUAAUGGUAUAUUACUAAAAUGUGUAAGCUUGCAAAAAGUCAGAACAAUCAGGGAUGAAGUGCAUGAAGGGAUAUGUGGAGCUCAUCAAGUUGGCCAAAAGAUGAGAUGGUUAAUUAUUAGGAAUGGAUAUUUUUGGCCCAAGAUGGGAGAAUCAUGUGUUCAAUAUGCGAAGAGUUGUAUAGCAUGCCAAAAGCAUGGUCUAAUACAAAGGGCGCAGCAAGAGAGAUGGCACCCAUUAUUAAACCCUGGCCGUUCAAGGGUUGGGCGAUAGACCUGAUAGGGAAGAUUUAUUCCCCAUCGUCCAAGCAACAUACCUUUGUUAUGGUUGCAACUAAUUUUUUCACUAAGUGGGUAGAAGCGAUACCUUUAAAGGAGAUCACCCAAAAGAGUGUCAUAGAAUUUAUCCGUGAUCAUAUUAUUUAUAGAUUUGGGAUUCCACAAACUUUGAUGGUAGAUCACGGAACUUCUUUAAAUGGAGAUCAAGUGAAUAAAUUUUUGAGCGAGUUUGGAGUUAAAUUAGUGAACUCCACACCAUAUUACGCUCAAUCUAACAGACAAGCAGAAUCUUCUAAUAAGAUUCUAAAAAAUAUCAUAAGGAAAAUGAUAGAUGAAAAUGUCAGAAAUUGGCACGAAUAUCUAAACAAAGCUUUAUGGGCUUACAGGAUGUCGCCUCUAUCAAGUACCAAGGUUACUCCUUUCCAACUUACUUAUGGACAGGAGGCCGUUUUGCCUAUGGAAAUCAAUGUGUGAUCAAUCAGAGUGUGUUUGCAACAUAAGUUAAGUGAUGGUGAGAAUACCGAAUCACUAGUUCAAAACUUAUUGGAGUUGGACAAAUUAAAGUUCGAAGUCCUAGAUAGAUUGCAAGUUCAAAAACGAAGGAUGGCUAAGUUUUACAAUAAAAAAGUUAUAGCCAUGUCAUUUAGCCUGGGCGAAUUGGUUUGGAAAACAAUACUCCCUUUGGGUAGUAAGGAUCCAAAGUAUGGCAAGUGGUUGUCCAAUUGGAAAGGACCAUUUAAAGUAAAUAUUGUGUUGCCUAAUGGAGCUUACCAUUUAGAAGAUUUAGAUGGCACCAAGCACAUGAGGUUCAUUAAUGGCAAAUAUUUAAAAAAGUAUGUUCCUUCCUUAUGGGAGAAUGAACAAAUAAAAUUGUAAUCAAAUUGCGCUGAACGAUCGUAGAUAAAUAGGGCCAAAACGAAAUACGUUCAAAUAAAUACCUUUAUUAUCAAAUAUACAUUACAAAUUGUGAGAUACAAAAUACUAAAUGCUCUAUAAGCUAUAAUUGAGAGCAAAUUAAUUUCUCGAUCGAUCGCCAAGCAAGAGGGUGAACCGACCUUGGUCGCCAUCCUGAUCGUACUGCUGCAAGGAUAGGCAGAGAGACCGAGAAGCACUCUCAACAAGCAAAAAGGAAGAAAAGCACCCUCAAAUCGCCUGCCUAAUCGCAUUGCUGCAAUAACGGGCAAGGAGACUGAGCAGCACUCUCAGCAAGCAAAGUGGCUUCAAAGGCAUCCUCAAAAAUUGUCUUCCAUCAUUGAACUCCUUAUAAAGAGCAUGGAGACGAUGGAAAGAACUUUGCUGGCCAAAGAAUAUUUCAUAUAUCUCCCAUACCAAAUGUGAUAUCAAAACAAAAAGCAAAAUGGGCGGAUCAAAUGAUCUAUUUCUAUGGAAGACGAAAAUUUUGGAUCAAUUGUUGAGAUGCCAAACGAUGGCAGCAAAUUAGUUUUUGAAGAAAAGAAUGGAAAUGAAAAUGAUGAGUGUGAAAUACACACGCAUUUAUAGAGACGUGAAGGUGAAAAGACAGAAUGUGAAGGGCCACAUUCGUGCCUAAUAACUAAAAUCAAAUGGCCCAAAGUCUUGGGAAAAGAGACGGAAAUACCAAGGAAGAAUGUACAUGAAUUUUAGCAUAAAGCAAUUAAAUAUUUGGGAGGUUGAUGAUUAAGCACAACGUCAAUUAAUACGCAAGUAGACAAAUUGGUCGUUCAUUAAUGACGAUAACUGCUGUUACAUUCAAAAUUAACAAUGGCAAUUAGUGCGAAGUUACAAAAGGAAAGUUAAGGCAUUAGAUGUUUUAAUUACAAUUCACCCCAGGCCGAACGAAUUCUUUCCCUAAGUCUCCCCCAAUCUUCGCUCUGCUGAGAAGAAGCAACAUUUAAUUCAGCUACAAAAUCGUCAUCAACCUCCAAUUUUUUGUAUUGCUCAACCAAAGACUUGGUUCGUUCAAUUCCUUGGGAAGCAUUACGUUUUUUAGCAGCCAUUCUCGCCCUACAAUCGUCCAUCUUUUCUUGAAGCUCCUUCAUCUCUGCAACCAAACUUGUCAUCAAAGAGUCUUCGACCAUAACGUCGGAAGAGAUUUCUUUUAAUUCAUCCUCGACUUUGUUAAUCUCUAGAAGGAAAAACUCUCUUUCAGAUGCAGCACAAAGAUAUUGAGUACUCCUAGCCUUCAGUUCAACAUUCUUGGCUAGCAAGGAGAGGAUGUCAGAGUGAACAACAUUCAACACUUUAAAGUCAGCAGAAACAUUGAGCGACGAAAGUGUAAGUGCUUGCGCCAAUUUCGUACUCAAUAGCUCAAGCUUAUCCUUAUGUUUAGGAGCACUAACUUGGCCGAUAUCCAUGUCCAUGAAAGACACGUACCCAAAUACUGCUUGAGAAACUUCAUAUUUUCCUCUAAAGAAGCAGAAGGAUGAUUAGUUGAAGUAGGGCGAGACUUCUUGACUUGCCCCCAGGAAGUAAACAAGUCCUGGAUGGAAUGCACAAUGUCAUCAGCAUCUUGCAAAGAAAAAUGCCAACAUUGAGGACUUUCACUACAAUAAACAAAGCGAAAAUGAAAGUGAAGCAAAAGGUUAACUCAUCAGCAAUCUGGGGAAGUUCAGGCAUAUCAUCAGUUAUCUCCACCACCUGUGGGGACUUCCCCUUAUCUGGGCGAGAAGACUCUGCCACAACGGCCAGGCCCAUGGGAGCCUCUGCAUAAUUCAAGAAGCAACAAAUCAGAAACCAGUAGCACAAGCAAAGGUAAGACAUCAAAAUAUGUAUUACCUUCUGGUUCGACGUUUGGGGAGUCGGCGCCCUGGGAAAAAGGUGGCAUUUCUACUGGUUGUGAUGAAGGUUCUGGGACUAAGGGUUUCUCUUUAAGCAUAAUCCCUUCAUCAGCUGAUUUGGACGAAGCAGUUUCAGCAGAAGAUGAUGGAAUAGGGGCUGCCAAGACCAAAGCCUUCGAAGGAGAGGUUGAACUUUUCUGAGGAAUUCAAGUAAACCAUUAGUACAUAGAAAAGUAUGUUUGUGAAUAAACAAAUUCAAUUACCUUUCUUCUAAGGAUAAGAGGAGCGUCAUCAUCUUCAUCAUUAUCAUCCUGCAAAAUGGGAGAUGCUGAAGCUGGCCGUUUGCGGCUUAAG